GUGACGGGAGAGAGACAGAGAAGGAGAGAGAGAGAGAGAGAGAGAGAGUCGCCGGAGGAGUGACGGAGGAGGUUCAACGUCAAGGGGGAAAAUGCAUGACCAUCUGCCUCUUAACCAGAAAGCCUCCAUUACUGGCAAAGUCCCUCCGUCUAAUGCCAUCUGACUCCUCGACUUGUGUGUUCCAUGUAGCGCAUCUCUGGAGACCAAGAGGACCUAUUAUUUUCAUAAUUGACCAAUUAUAGGUUACACUCUUAAUGUUUGUUUACACAUGCGCGAACGCUGUAAAACAACAGUCGUGCAAUAAACAGUGUUUUUUUGUU